rnacentral:snRNA from 1 species
AGUAUUACCCGGCAAGGGAAACAUUUGGCUGGGUUUUCCUAUCYGUUCCUUGCACCCUGGGCACGCCGACCCCUCCGAUCUACCAAAACGUGGGAAGCUUGACUGCAUCAUUUGUAGCAGCGAAGGACAACGGUCGUGGUCUCUUCUU